CAGCAGCCGCGGGAACACGAAGGGUGCAAGCGUUAAUCGGAAUUACUGGGCGUAAAGCGCGCGUAGGUGGUUCAUUAAGUUGGAUGUGAAAGCCCUGGGCUCAACCUGGGAACUGCAUCCAAAACUGGUGGGCUAGAGUACGGUAGAGGGUAGUGGAAUUUCCUGUGUAGCGGUGAAAUGCGUAGAUAUAGGAAGGAACACCAGUGGCGAAGGCGACUACCUGGACUGAUACUGACACUGAGGUGCGAAAGCGUGGGGAGCAAACAGGAUUAGAUACCCCUGUAGUCCCUGUCUCUUAUCU
rnacentral:rRNA from 1 species